rnacentral:rRNA from 1 species
GAUGAACGCUGGCGGCGUGCCUAAUACAUGCAAGUCGAGCGAACGGACGAGAAGCUUGCUUUUCUGAUGUUAGCGGCGGACGGGUGAGUAACACGUGGAUCACCUACCUAUAAUACUGGGAUAACUUCGGGAAACCGGAUCUAAUACCGGAUAAUAUUUUGAACCGCAUGGUUCAAAAGUGAAAGACGGUCUUGCUGUCACUUAUAGAUGGAUCCGCGCUGCAUUAGCUAGUUGGUAAGGUAACGGCUUACCAAGGCAACGAUGCAUAGCCGACCUGAGAGGGUGAUCGGCCACACUGGAACUGAGACACGGUCCAGACUCCUACGGGAGGCAGCAGUAGGGAAUAUUCCGCAAUGGGCGAAAGCCUGACGGAGCAACGCCGCGUGAGUGAUGAAGGUCUUCGGAUCGUAAAGCUCUGUUAUUAGGGAAGAACAGAUGUGUAAGUAACUGUGCACAUCUUGACGGUACCUAAUCAGAAAGCCCCGGCUAACUACGUG